rnacentral:rRNA from 1 species
AUGGACCGGCGUAGUUGGCCGUGGAAGAAGAAAUCAUCGGACAAAUCCUCAAACGCAGAUGUCUUGCAGAACUCUAAUCAAGCAGAACAGGAGGAUAAAGUUCCGAAAUUUGUGCAGAUUUCACCGGAAACAUAUGCACAUCUUACUGAUUCUGAAGAACAAGUGAAAGUCUUGGAUGAAAAGGUGAAAACCUUGAAUGAGAAACUGUCUGCAUCACAAUCUGAGAUCACUACCAAAGAUGCCCUAGUGAAACAACAUGCUAAAGUUGCUGAAGAAGCUGUAUCAGGUUGGGAGAAAGCUGAAGCGGAGGCCUCGGCACUGAAGGUUCAGCUAGAAACUGUUACAUUGUCUAAGCUAGCAGCUGAGGAAAGAGCUGCCCAUCUGGAUGGUGCUCUAAAGGAAUGCAUGAAGCAAGUAAGAACUGUGAAGGAAGAAGGCGAGCAGAAGCUACAUGAUGUAGUUUUUGCGAAAACCAAACAGUGGGAGAAGAUAAAGGCCGAGUUGGAAGAAAAGUUGCUUGAAUUUGACCAUGAGCUCAUAAGGGCUGGUGCUGAGAAUGAUGCACUCUCAAGAUCACUCCAAGAGCGGGCAGAUUUGUUGAUGAAAAUUGAUGAGGAAAAGGCUCAAGCAGAAGCUGAAAUUGAAGUCUUGAAAAGCACAAUUCAGUCAGGUGAAAGGGAAAUAAAUUCACUGAAGUAUGAAGUACAUGUUGUCACCAAAGAGCUUGAAAUCCGCAAUGAAGAAAAGAACAUGAGUGUGCGCUCAGCUGAUGUAGCAACUAAACAGCACCUGGAGGAUGUUAAGAAAAUCACAAAGCUGGAAGCUGAAUGCCAAAGAUUGCGUGGUCUUGUUCGGAAAAAGUUACCAGGCCCUGCUGCAUUAGCUCAGAUGAAAAUGGAAGUUGAGAGCCUGGGAAUGGGCAGAGAUUAUGGAGACAACAGAUUGCGACGAUCCCCUGCAAAGAAUAAUAGCUUCCAUCGUCCUAUGUCCCCUAUGUCUCCAGUUCCUGAUUAUGCUUUUGAUAACCUACAGCACAUGCAGAAAGAGAAUGAGUUUCUGACUGCACGUUUGUUAACUAUGGAAGAAGAAACUAAGAUGCUCAAAGAGGCAUUGACAAAACGGAACAGUGAGCUACAAACUUCAAGAAGCAUGUACGCUAAGAUAGCGGGCAAGCUUCGCACCUUGGAAGUUCAAAUGGUGACUGGUAACCAACGUAAGAGUCCAUCAAAUCCAAACAUGGAUAUCCACUUUGAUGGUGCACAUAGUCAAAAUGGAAGCAAUCCACCUAGUAUGACUUCCAUGUCUGAAGAUGGUGUUGAUGAUGAAGGCAGUUGUACCGAGUCUUGGGCCAAUGCUCUGGUAUCUGAGCUAUCACACAUCAAGAAAGAGAAAGUAGCUAAGAGUAGUGUGACUGAUGGCUCCAAUCGGUUGGAACUGAUGGAUGACUUCCUAGAGAUGGAGAGACUAGCUUGUUUGCCUUCUGAAGCCAAUGGCCAUGACAAUGCUGUUGACAAAGUAAAGAUGGUUGAUGCUGAGGCUGCUGUAUCUGGUCUUACUGAGAGUGAUGGUGUUAAAGAUUUGCAGUCAGUACCAUUGCCUGGAACUCCAUCUAGUAAACAGCAGCUGUCCGAGGGAUCUCCACUCUUGAAACUGCAGUCCAGAUUAUCUUCUUUGCUGGACUCUGAAUCACCACAGAACAAUGCUGGGAAGGUACUAAACAGUAUCAGAAAUAUUCUUAAGGAUAUUGAAGAAGAGGCAGAUUUAAUGAAUGCAAGCAAGAUGGUUGAAGUUUCUGAAAGUGAAUCAUUAAUGAACCAAGACAAGAGGUUGAGCAUUGGGAGUAAGCAUUCCAUGGAUCAAGAAGUUAUAAAUGCCAUCUUGAAGAUUCAAGACUUUGUUAAGUCACUUGAUCAAGAAAUGUCCAAGCACCAGAGACCGUCUUCUGAUUAUGGUGGGCUUUCUGAGAAAAUUCAGCAAUUCUCUGCGCUAGUUGAGAAAGUUCUAUCAAAUGAAAAUGUCAUAAAUGACAUCAUUAUGACACUAUCUCACAUCUUGUCAGAAACUAGUGAGAUCAAGUUCACAAUGUUGAGAGACAGCACAAAUGAAGCAGACAGUAAUAAUUUGGAUUAUGUUGACAAAGUGACACUACUUGAAAAUAAAGUGCAGCCUCAUUCAUCUUCUGGCCCUUGCCCACUUAUUCCUCAUCCAUCUUCUGAUCCUGAGAUUGUGGGGCCUAAUGAUGCCGGAUUCGAUGUUAAGACUGCAGUGCAGAUGUGCUCACCGGAGGACUACGAGCGACUUAAAUCUGAGAAGAUUAAUCUGGAGACAGAACUAGCGAGAUGCAGUGAAAUGAUAGAAGAUACAAAGUGUAGGUUUAGUGAGAUGGAGAAAAACCUGGAAGAGCUUACAUCCAGGUUGUCUGCCAGCGAGAAUUCAAACAGCUUGGCUGAGACGCAGCUGAAGUGUAUGGUUGAAUCCUACAAGAUUCUUGAAUCAAGGAAAGUUGAAUUAGAAAAGGAAAUAGAAGUGUUGCAGUCCAAAAUAGAGACUUUAACAGCUGAACUCGGGGAUGAAAGACAAAGUCAUCAGGAUGACUUAGCCAGAUACAAAGAUCUCGAAGAGAAGAUGGAAAGGUACGAAAACGAGCAGAGUUCAAUGCAUGUGGAAGAGGUUGACGACACCAAAUCAAAGCAGGAGGUGGAAAUAGCGGCCGCAGCAGAAAAGCUUGCAGAGUGCCAGGAGACCAUGUUGAUUCUUGGUCGUCAACUGCAAGCUAUGCGUCCUCCAGCAGAGUCAAUGGGUGCCUCGCCAACCCGGCAACGAAUGGAGGACUUCUUGCAAGACGCGGCAGGAACAACCGAAGGCGAGUAUGCCCAGAAACCAUCAGGCCAGCAUGAUACAGAUCAGGAAAUGCUGGAGUCAGAGAAUGUAUCUCCCCUCAACGGAUACAAGACCCACAUGACCCCUUCUGAUGCGGACGGAAGCCCUUCUCUUUCAACAAACAGUUCCAAGCGCCCAAAGCAUAGGUCGCGAUCCUCAUCCUCUUCCUCAUUUGCUAACCAGUUGCCCGAGAAACAAAGCCGGGGCUUUAGUCGGUUCUUCGCCAAGGGCAAAGAGUGA